rnacentral:rRNA from 1 species
CAUGCAAGUCGAACGGCAGCGCGGGAGCAAUCCUGGCGGCGAGUGGCGAACGGGUGAGUAAUACAUCGGAACGUGCCCAAUCGUGGGGGAUAACGCAGCGAAAGCUGUGCUAAUACCGCAUACGAUCUACGGAUGAAAGCAGGGGAUCGCAAGACCUUGCGCGAAUGGAGCGGCCGAUGGCAGAUUAGGUAGUUGGUGAGGUAAAGGCUCACCAAGCCUUCGAUCUGUAGCUGGUCUGAGAGGACGACCAGCCACACUGGGACUGAGACACGGCCCAGACUCCUACGGGAGGCAGCAGUGGGGAAUUUUGGACAAUGGGCGAAAGCCUGAUCCAGCCAUGCCGCGUGCAGGAUGAAGGCCUUCGGGUUGUAAACUGCUUUUGUACGGAACGAAACGGCCUUUUCUAAUAAAGAGGGCUAAUGACGGUACCGUAAGAAUAAGCACCGGCUAACUACGUGCCAGCAGCCGCGGUAAUACGUAGGGUGCAAGCGUUAAUCGGAAUUACUGGGCGUAAAGCGUGCGCAGGCGGUAAUGUAAGACAGUUGUGAAAUCCCCGGGCUCAACCUGGGAACUGCAUCUGUGACUGCACUGCUGGAGUACGGUAGAGGGGGAUGGAAUUCCGCGUGUAGCAGUGAAAUGCGUAGAUAUGCGGAGGAACACCGAUGGCGAANGCAAUCCCCUGGACCUGUACUGACGCUCA